rnacentral:rRNA from 1 species
GUGGGGAAUCUUAGACAAUGGGCGCAAGCCUGAUCUAGCCAUGCCGCGUGAGCGAUGAAGGCCUUAGGGUUGUAAAGCUCUUUCGCUGGGGAAGAUAAUGACUGUACCCAGUAAAGAAGCCCCGGCUAACUCCGUGCCAGCAGCCGCGGUAAUACGGAGGGGGCUAGCGUUGUUCGGAAUUACUGGGCGUAAAGCGCGCGUAGGCGGAUUGGAAAGUUGGGGGUGAAAUCCCGGGGCUCAACCCCGGAACUGCCUUCAAAACUCCCAGUCUUGAGGUCGAGAGAGGUGAGUGGAAUUCCGAGUGUAGAGGUGAAAUUCGUAGAUAUUCGGAGGAACACCAGUGGCGAAGGCGGCUCACUGGCUCGAUACUGACGCUGAGGUGCGAAAGCGUGGGGAGCAAACAGGAUUAGAAACCCCGGUAGUCC